rnacentral:rRNA from 1 species
AUUGAACGCUGGCGGCAGGCCUAACACAUGCAAGUCGGACGGUAGCACAGAGGAGCUUGCUCCUCGGGUGACGAGUGGCGGACGGGUGAGUAAUGUCUGGGGAUCUGCCCGAUAGAGGGGGAUAACCACUGGAAACGGUGGCUAAUACCGCAUAACGUCGCAAGACCAAAGAGGGGGACCUUCGGGCCUCUCACUAUCGGAUGAACCCAGAUGGGAUUAGCUAGUAGGCGGGGUAACGGCCCACCCAGGCGACGAUCCCUAGCUGGUCUGAGAGGAUGACCAGCCACACUGGGACUGAGACACGGUCCAGACUCCUACGGGAGGCAGCAGUGGGGAAUAUUGCACAAUGGGCGCAAGCCUGAUGCAGCCAUGCCGCGUGUAUGAAGAAGGCCUUCGGGUUGUAAAGUACUUUCAGCGGGGAGGAAGGCGAUGUGGUUAAUAACCGCAUUGAUUGACGUUACCCGCAGAAGAAGCACCGGCUAACUCCGUGCCAGCAGCCGCAGUAA